CAGGCUCCUUUCCUGGUUCGGUAAGAAGCCCUGAACCCAAGGCCUCUGCUGCAACCAUCCAGAAGUGUGGUUCUCAAUCCCAGCUACACACUCCAAUCACGAGGUGCCCUGUCCAGCUGAGAACCACCACCUUUGACACACCAAGCUUCUUCCUGGAGCUGCAGAACCUGCACCGCCCUUUACUGCCACUACUUGCUUCCUUCAGUGCUCUCUGCAUCCCGCUCCACUCCAGCGUCGGAGGAUGCCUCGGGACCUGCCUUAACUCACUACUGGCCCUCACAGAGGUGCUCAAACAGUCUCAACUCACAUGUAAGUAGUUAUAUCUGAUCAUAAGAAAAGUUAACUAGAGGUCUAGAAAAUUGAAUUCCUUGAAUAAAGGUUUCCUGCAUUUUC